rfam:Hepatitis C virus isolate QC115, complete genome
UAAGCUUAUAGCUCAAGGGGGUAAGGCCGCUAUAUGCGGCUUAUACCUCUUCAAUUGGGCUGUACGCACA